GAUGAAGAACGCAGCAAAAUGCGAUAAGUAAUGUGAAUUGCAGAAUUCAGUGAAUCAUCGAAUCUUUGAACGCACAUUGCGCCCGCUGGUAUUCCGGCGGGCAUGCCUGUUCGAGCGUCAUUUCAACCCUCAAGCCCCCGGGUUUGGUGUUGGGGAUCGGCUCUGCCCUUCUGGGCGGUGCCGCCCCCGAAAUACAUUGGCGGUCUCGCUGCAGCCUCCAUUGCGUAGUAGCUAACACCUCGCAACUGGAACGCGGCGCGGCCAUGCCGUAAAACCCCAACUUCUGAAUGUUGAACUCGGAUCAGGUAGGAAUACCCGCUGAACUUAAGCAUAUCAAUAAGCGGAGGA
rnacentral:misc_RNA from 1 species